AGAGUUUGAUCCUGGCUCAGGACGAACGCUGGCGGCGUGCUUAACACAUGCAAGUCGAACGGUAAGGCCCUUCGGGGUACACGAGUGGCGAACGGGUGAGUAACACGUGGGUAAUCUGCCCUGCACAUCGGGAUAAGCCUGGGAAACUGGGUCUAAUACCGAAUAGGACCACAGGACACAUGUCCUGUGGUGGAAAGCUUUUGCGGUGUGGGAUGGGCCCGCGGCCUAUCAGCUUGUUGGUGGGGUGAUGGCCUACCAAGGCGACGACGGGUAGCCGGCCUGAGAGGGUGUCCGGCCACACUGGGACUGAGAUACGGCCCAGACUCCUACGGGAGGCAGCAGUGGGGAAUAUUGCACAAUGGGCGAAAGCCUGAUGCAGCGACGCCGCGUGGGGGAUGACGGCCUUCGGGUUGUAAACCUCUUUCACCAUCGACGAAGGUCCGGGUUUUCUCGGGCUGACGGUAGGUGGAGAAGAAGCACCGGCCAACUACGUGCCAGCAGCCGCGGUAAUACGUAGGGUGCGAGCGUUGUCCGGAAUUACUGGGCGUAAAGAGCUCGUAGGUGGUUUGUCGCGUUGUUCGUGAAAUCUCACGGCUUAACUGUGAGCGUGCGGGCGAUACGGGCAGACUUGAGUACUGCAGGGGAGACUGGAAUUCCUGGUGUAGCGGCGGAAUGCGCAGAUAUCACGAGGAACACCGGUGGCGAAAGCGGGUCUCUGGGCAGUAACUGACGCUGAGGAGCGAAAGCGUGGAGAGCGAACAGGAUUAGAUACCCUGGUAGUCC
rnacentral:rRNA from 1 species